UACGUAGGGUGCGAGCGUUGUCCGGAAUUAUUGGGCGUAAAGAGCUUGUAGGCGGUUUGUCGCGUCUGCUGUGAAAAUCCGGGGCUCAACCCCGGACUUGCAGUGGGUACGGGCAGACUAGAGUGUGGUAGGGGAGACUGGAAUUCCUGGUGUAGCGGUGAAAUGCGCAGAUAUCAGGAGGAACACCGAUGGCGAAGGCAGUUCUCUGGGCCGUAACUGACGCUGAGGAGCGAAAGCGUGGGGAGCGAACAGG
rnacentral:rRNA from 1 species